UUCAUUUGGUGUUGUGGUUUUUUUUAAGUUAGCUGAUAUGUAUGUGUUCUUGUCUCUAACUUAAAAUAGCAUUAAUUGAUGAUGUGUUUUUUGCAACAAAUCAAAGAUCCAGGACGUGUUCUUUUCCACAGUAGGAUGUGCACUUUUAGGAGUGUCAAAGGAAAACUGCUCCGUUUCAGUAAACGUGUUCGACACAUAAUAUAUUCAAAUGAAAUAUAAUGGUGUUUGCAUGAGGCUGUUGUGCAGAUCAAUGUAAGAUUACUUUUGCUGGCCCAGAACCUGAGCGUUCUGUGGCAGCCUGGAAGGUAUCAUGAAUUGUUUUGUAGUGCAGAUGACUUUGACACAUACAUGAGUCCAAAAAAUUGCUUUAGUGGCAUCUUGACUAUGUGUAAAACCACUCUUGUCAAGUGCAGAUAACUGCUGGGUUAUUCAGCUUUAUGUUUUUCACCUGUAUUUCUUCUGUUUGUGAAGUUACUGGUUCAGAAGAAGACCCAGCUGAACAGUAAAAUUGCAUUCUGUUAUUAUGUCUGCUAUAGAAGCAAAAUAUUUUAGUAAAUAAACUAGUCAUUCUAGUUGUGUUUCAUGACAUGAAGUGGAUUAUGUAGUGAUAUAAUAAUGAAAACGUAUGCAGAACCUAUGUAAAUAAACUCAUAUCUACAGUAUUUUUAAAGUUAUGUCUUCCUAUGCUUGGAGGCAGGUGCUUUUAAGCUGGUAAAUUACAAAAAUAAAAAAUCUCCUAUCUCUUCAGAGUAUUCUUGCAAAUCUGUAUGCAUGGUUGUAAAUCAAGUAAGUGCAUAAUGUUGGCAAAUUGUUACAGUUAAAAACUACAUUUGCAAAUUGAGUUCCUUGACUUUAAAGCAAGAUCCUAGACUUGCUUUAAAAUGAACAGGUGCGUUUUGUUUUGUUUUUUGUAGUACUGACAGUUUCCUCAAUUUUGCAAACAUUCAAAGAAAGUAACUUAGAAGUUAGUAUUCUUAACUAUUUCAUUUGAAUUAAGUAUAUGAAGUAUAUAAUACUGAAGGUUGAUGCAGUUUCAGUACAGAAUGGGGAAGAAAAUUAAGCAAGUCAGUAUGUAGAAUUGGUUAUUGUAAGAAGAGGUUCCCACAAUGGUAAUUGUUCUGGCCUGCAGGGUCAGCAGCUACCUAACUAGUCUACUCUCAUGAGAGAUUUAGAAUCUAUAGCUGAUCUUGUUAUCUUUAUAGAUUUAGUCUAGUAAAGUAUUUAGUAGUUCAGCAUGAAAGUUCUAACACUUUAUAUUGAUGUAAAUUACUAUUGAUGUGAACUAUGUGUUGUUGCUAGCUGUGCAUGUUUAUGUUUCUCAUUAAGUCAAUUUACCAUUUCAUCAGAGAAGUAAAAGUGAAUAUUUUUUAGGAAAUACAGGAGAACAAGUUAUUAAACAAAUUUUGGGACUUCUAAGGAAAGAAGGAAGGCUAUAAGCGAUGUUGUAAUAUCAACUGUGAAGACAAGCAGAGGGAACCCUUGCUUCUCUGAAAAGAUUGUUAACUCUCUGAGUUAAAAACAAACAAGCAACAACCCACAGAAACAAACUACUGAUUCUUACCAUGCGGUGUAUCUGUAUUGAACUGCGAUAGUUGCAUGUUGUAAGUUUAGGAAUAAGAGCAGAAUCUGAAAGAAUAAGAUGUUGAGGUGUUUAGUUCCAGACAGAGGCGGUUCUAUUAUCUUGGGCUAUAUAGCAAAAUUAAAAGGAGAAUGAGUCUUCCCUGUUCCAAAGUUAAUCUCUAAAUAGAAUCUCCUCCUGGCAACUUGCUUUUACAGCAAAUGUCACUGAGUGUAGUGGUACUUGAAACACUUUUUUCACAUAUUCGAACAAUGCCUAGUGUGAACUUCAAGGAUUUCUGAAUCUCUCUUUGAUAGUUCCACUUUAAAUCUUGUGGUGGGGAUUGCUUUUACUUUCUUUAAUGUGAUUGAGAUAAAAAAUUGCCCAAAGUAGCGCAUGUUCUUACAAUCUCUUGACUCUUCCAUUCCCAGAAUAGGCCUCAAUGGCAGCCUGGGAACUGCAGCUGUGUUUCUAAGCCUGGCUUUUGAUCAUUAUGUACAAGUAUGUUUCUGUGGUGAACAAUGACAUUAGGAAGCAAUUCUUCUACUCAUGCUACUUUUUAAACAGCAGAUGAUGCGGUUAACUGAAAACUAAAAAUAAAUAAAGAAAGAAAGAAAUCAUGUAAAUGUGUUUUUAUCUUCAAGUUCAGUAGACUCUUCUCACAUACAGGAAAAGUCUUUUUGGAUUCCUGCAUCCAAUGGUUGUUCACCUGUCCUUGCAGAUCACUUCUAUUAAGUGACUUUUCCUUGAGUGUUUAGAUUCUUUAUUCAGUCUCUUCAGAUUCUCUAUUUAGAAAAGAUGUACUUGAAUUUUUUGGAACUAGAUAGAGAUUCCUAAUGAUAAUUGCUUCUUUGCCUUCUCAGUGUGUAUGCUUAAACCUUUUAUGUGUGUUUUCUGUUUGUUCUUCCCAUCUCUUCUAAUACAGAUUUCCUGCAGUGAGUGUACUAUUCUAACAGCUCAGUGGUAGUGUGGCUUCCCCUUGCAUAUGAUUAAAGUGCCAUUCAUGCGUUAAUACAGUACAGGUUCUUGUACGUUGUUAUGUAGAACGUAACUGUUUUACAUGCUGUAAUACUGUGCAAAUAAUGACUGUGUGUGGAAUGAACCUGAUACGGGUAAGGAUGAUACUGGAACAAGCUCAUGUAAAAUUGUUUCAUUUUUUUCUGGUUUUUGAAUUAGUUCAGAGAGUUUGAGGUUGGAAGGGACCAUAGAUCAUUUAAAACUCAUUUGUCUCAUGGGCUUGCUACUCAUGACCUUUAGCAUAUCUACCUGAGUCACUCUGAAAGUAAUGCCUGCUAUUUAUUUCCAUGGAAACUACAACAACUACAAAGAGCACACUGUCAGCUACAAAACACUGUUUUUCAACAUGGUCACCAUUAUAAUCUGUGUUUUCACCAGUAAUGCCUGCAUGAAAAAAAAAAAACAA